GACGAACGCUGGCGGCGUGCUUAACACAUGCAAGUCGAACGGAAAGGCCCUGCUUUUGUGGGGUGCUCGAGUGGCGAACGGGUGAGUAACACGUGAGUAACCUGCCCUUGACUUUGGGAUAACUUCAGGAAACUGGGGCUAAUACCGGAUAGGAGCUCCUGCUGCAUGGUGGGGGUUGGAAAGUUUCGGCGGUUGGGGAUGGACUCGCGGCUUAUCAGCUUGUUGGUGGGGUAGUGGCUUACCAAGGCUUUGACGGGUAGCCGGCCUGAGAGGGUGACCGGCCACAUUGGGACUGAGAUACGGCCCAGACUCCUACGGGAGGCGGCAGUGGGGAAUAUUGCACAAUGGGCGGAAGCCUGAUGCAGCAACGCCGCGUGCGGGAUGACGGCCUUCGGGUUGUAAACCGCUUUCGCCUGUGACGAAGCGUGAGUGACGGUAAUGGGUAAAGAAGCACCGGCUAACUACGU
rnacentral:rRNA from 1 species